CCCUUAGAUGUUCUGGACCGCACGCGUGCUACACUGAGUGGAUCAGCGGGUCAGGUUGCGCGAAAGUGUUUCCUAAUCUUGAAAUCCGCUCGUGAUGGGGAUUGACGGUUGCAAUUUUCCGUCAUGAACGAGGAAUACCUUGUAAGCGCGGGUCAUCAUCCCGCGCUGAAUACGUCCCUGCCCUUUGUACACACCGCCCGUCGCUCCUACCGAUUGAGUGGUCCGGUGAGGCUUUGGGAUCUGAGCAAAAAGAGCGUUUCGCUCGUUUGGCUCGGAAAACUCAGUCGAACCUUAUCAUUUAGAGGAAGGAGAAGUCGUAACA
rnacentral:rRNA from 1 species